rnacentral:misc_RNA from 1 species
GAUGAAAACGCAGCGAAAUGCGAUAAGUAAUGUGAAUUGCAGAAUUCAGUGAAUCAUCGAAUCUUUGAACGCACAUUGCGCCCCCUGGUAUUCCGGGGGGCAUGCCUGUCCGAGCGUCAUUACAACCCUCAAGCUCAGCUUGGUGUUGGGCCCCGCCGCCCCGGCGGGCCCUAAAGUCAGUGGCGGUGCCGUCCGGCUCCGAGCGUAGUAAUUCUUCUCGCUCUGGAGGUCCGGUCGUGUGCUCGCCAGCAACCCCCAAUUUUUUUCAGGUUGACCUCGGAUCAGGUAGGGAUACCCGCUGAACUUAAGCAUAUCAAUAGCGGAGGA